UUCUGGUUGAUCCCGCCGGACCCUACUGCUAUCGGGGUGGGACUAAGACAUGCGAGUCGAGCGUCUCUAGCUAUGUUGAGACGCGGCAGACGGCUCAGUAACACGUGGCUAACCUACCCUCAGGACAGGGACAAACCCGGGAAACUGGGGCUAAUACCAGAUAGGCGAGGAUGCCUGGAAUGGUUUUUCGCUCAAAGGACCUUGGAAACAUGCUUUCAAGUCGCCUGAGGAUGGGGCCGCGUCCGAUCAGGUUGUUGGUGAGGUAACGGCUCACCAAGCCUAUAACCGGUACGGGCCGUGAGAGCGGUAGCCCGGAGAUGGGUACUGAGACAAGGACCCAGGCCCUACGGGGCGCAGCAGUCGCGAAAACUCCGCAAUGCACGAAAGUGUGACGGGGCUA
rnacentral:rRNA from 1 species